UCAGUGUCAGUUUUAGAGCAGGAGGUUUUUGUACAGCCGCUGAUUGGGUUUGUAUCACUGUGGUGGACGUUCGGUGGAGGAACUCGACUCUCAGUUGGAACUGCCACUCGUCCCACUCUCACGGUCCUGCCGCCCUCCAGAGAGGAGCUGCAGCAGGGUAAGGCUACAGUGGUGUGUGUGGGCAGUAAGGGAUUCCCCUCUGACUGGAAGCUGAGCUGGAAGGUGGAUGGCAGCAGCAGGAGCUCUGCUGUGAAUCUGAGUCCCAGUGUGCUGCAGAAGGAUGGACUGUACAGCUGGAGCAGCAGCCUGAGCCUCACUGAGAGUGAGUGGAGCAGAGCAACAACCAUCAGCUGUGACGCCACGCACCCAUCCCAGAUUGCAGUGACCGAGAGCCUGAACACACAGCAGUGUGAUGACCAGUGAAACACACACACACAUCACACAGAGAUUAUAGGCAUGCAUAUUUCAUUUACACUCACACAUAUGCAGCUAUUUCAAAGGACUGUCCUAAAUCAGUCAAUGCUCAACAAUAAAUCUUUCAGCCUGUUAGUGUUCUUCAAAUAUUCUGUUGUAACAGCAAUGAUGUGUUUGUUGUUUUAUUGCUGCCAAAUAAAAGCAUUUUGACUCAAAUA